rnacentral:rRNA from 3 species
AAAUUGAAGAGUUUGAUCAUGGCUCAGAUUGAACGCUGGCGGCAGGCCUAACACAUGCAAGUCGAACGGUAACAGGAAGCAGCUUGCUGUUUCGCUGACGAGUGGCGGACGGGUGAGUAAUGUCUGGGAAACUGCCUGAUGGAGGGGGAUAACUACUGGAAACGGUGGCUAAUACCGCAUAACGUCGCAAGACCAAAGAGGGGGACCUUCGGGCCUCUUGCCAUCAGAUGUGCCCAGAUGGGAUUAGCUAGUUGGUGAGGUAACGGCUCACCAAGGCGACGAUCCCUAGCUGGUCUGAGAGGAUGACCAGCCACACUGGAACUGAGACACGGUCCAGACUCCUACGGGAGGCAGCAGUGGGGAAUAUUGCACAAUGGGCGCAAGCCUGAUGCAGCCAUGCCGCGUGUAUGAAGAAGGCCUUCGGGUUGUAAAGUACUUUCAGCGGGGAGGAAGGUGUUGUGGUUAAUAACC